AGGGGUAUAGCUCAGUUGGUAGAGUGGGUGUUUGGCAUGCAUGAAGUCCUGGAUUCAAUCCUCAGGGCCUCUG
rnacentral:tRNA from 1 species